CAAACGGAUGCUUUCCACCAUCUGAAGAAAGUUAUUAAUCUAGUAAGUCGAGAUUAAUAAUCUCGUUAAUUAUGCUGAGUGAAAUAUAUAUACAUAAUCAAGAUGAAAAGGCUGCACUUCCAAACUUGACAGUUUCAACAAAAACAACAACAACACUUGAAUCUGCUGUCAAGUCGUAGUUUUUGAUAGACAUUAACCUCAGAAUUAGAAAAUAAAACAAAUUUGAAGUGCUGCUUAGAAGUUGAAUCUUUACUUGGUGUAAUACAAUUUAAUCACAUAGGAGCGUAUUUUUUUUACAACUAGCCAAUUUUGAAAUGGAUCUUUGUAUUCACGUUUCAACACAAAAAAGCAAAUUAAUUCAACCAAAAUAGAUGUUUCGGGCCCGUAGAUGAUUGCGCAGAAGACUGACGAAAAUUUUUAAAAUAUAACAAAACUAUGGUCGUACAUUCUUUUCAAAACUUAGUUCUAAAUCUGAACUCGUCAAAAAAAUGGCUACCACUAUUUAAACAUAUACUGCUGAAAUCGCUGCGCAUCAAGAGCACAUGAUAAUUUCAAGCGAAUCCUUAUUUUUUUGACAUAACUAUUUUGUAUUUUUUGUAUUCAUAAAGCUUUUCUUUUUUUAAUGUUCAAAACUAAUUUUGAUAAAAAAAAGGGAUUUAAAAUAUAAUUUGAUGGCAAAGUAACUGCAAAAGCACACCA